AUAAUACUCCCUCCGUUCGAAAAUACUUGUCGGAGAAAUGAAUAAAAAUGGGUGUAUCUAGAACUAAAAUAUAUCUAGUUACACUCAAUUCUCCGACAAGUAUUUUCGGACAGAGGGAGUAGUAU
rfam:Triticum aestivum genome assembly, contig: Triticum_aestivum_CS42_TGACv1_scaffold_328140_4BS